rnacentral:rRNA from 1 species
AUUGAACGCUGGCGGCAGGCCUAACACAUGCAAGUCGAACGGUAACAGGAAGAAGCUUGCUUCUUUGCUGACGAGUGGCGGACGGGUGAGUAAUGUCUGGGAAACUGCCUGAUGGAGGGGGAUAACUACUGGAAACGGUAGCUAAUACCGCAUAACGUCGCAAGACCAAAGAGGGGGACCUUCGGGCCUCUUGCCAUCGGAUGUGCCCAGAUGGGAUUAGCUAGUAGGUGGGGUAACGGCUCACCUAUGCGACGAUCCCUAGCUGGUCUGAGAGGAUGACCAGCCACACUGGAACUGAGACACGGUCCAGACUCCUACGGGAGGCAGCAGUGGGGAAUAUUGCACAAUGGGCGCAAGCCUGAUGCAGCCAUGCCGCGUGUAUGAAGAAGGCCUUCGGGUUGUAAAGUACUUUCAGCGGGGAGGAAGGGAGUAAAGUUAAUACCUUUGCUCAUUGACGUUACCCGCAGAAGAAGCACCGGCUAACUCCGUG